GAAAGGGGUGAUAGGGGUAGUAAAACAUUCGACUGUAGAUCGAGAGGUCCCCGGUUCAAAAACCGGGGGCCCCUUCA